ACACACGCUACAAUGGUCGGUACAAUGGGAUGCCAAGCCGCGAGGCGAAGCAAAUCCUCAAAGCCGGCUCAGUUCGGAUUGGAGGCUGCAACUCGCCUCCAUGAAGUCGGAGUUGCUAGUAACCGCAGGUCAGCUAUACUGCGGUGAAUACGUUCCCGGGCCUU
rnacentral:rRNA from 1 species